UACGGGGGGGGCAAGCAGUGUUCGGAAUUACUGGGCGUAAAGGGCUCGUAGGUGGCCAACUAAGUCAGACGUGAAAUCCCUCGGCUUAACCGGGGAACUGCGUCUGAUACUGGAUGGCUUGAGUUUGGGAGAGGGAUGCGGAAUUCCAGGUGUAGCGGUGAAAUGCGUAGAUAUCUGGAGGAACACCGGUGGUGAAGGCGGCAUCCUGGACCAACACUGACACUGAGGAGCGAAAGCCAGGGGAGCAAACAGG
rnacentral:rRNA from 1 species